ACAUUAGCCCACUGCAUCAGAACUUACUACCACCACCUCUUUGCUGCUACAGAAAUGAGCGUGUUUUUAUAAGAUGAUGGAAGUAAACGGAGGGGCCUUCAAAUCGCACGGUAAAACUAUCCACGGAUAGUAAGAAGCCGAAGAAAUCUGAAGGGAAAAUCGCCAUCGGUUCAGAAUUCGGUCUUGCUGACAUCCUGAGCAGAGGCUUUUCUCCAGUCCACUCACAAUGUAAGAUACCAGCAAUAAUUUGCCCAUUUAUACAGGUGGGUAACUUCACUACAGCUACUGAGGGUAAAUAGGUUGCUUACGGCUACUACAGCUAGAGGCGGGAAUUGAACCUACAACCUGCCUGGGGCUAUUAAUACGGGCGCGAGUGGGGUCACAGCACACUGUUUUACACUACAGCAAGGUGGACAUGAAAGGACCUGGAUCUGUCUCAGGAUCAGGAUUUUAGAGAGACGAGUCGUAACUUAAGCCCUACAGGCAUUACCCAAAGAACUUCACCCUGAAUUACUCCAGUAAAAUACGCAUCUUAUAUAAAUGGCUUCGAUACUGUGAAUCGCACCGACAAAAGCGUCAUCUAGUCUACAAACGAAUGACAGUAAACACGUAUUGCGUCUUUCCGUGAAUUAAAGCGUUUUACUUCUAUUGGCUGCGUCGUGCCAUAUGAUCAAACGGCGCUGUCUGAUUGGUUCUCUCGGCUCUUCCCUUCCAAUCGUAGACGUCAGUAUUUGAAAACAUGGCGGUCCCGUAUUUGUCUCUAACGGAAGAGUGGAUCCGGGAGAAGGUGCAGCUCCAGCACAAGUGUUUAGCCGAUGUCAGGUCCCUGUGUCUCCCUGGGACGUACGAGGGAAAGAUCGGCCACCUGGGCUCCUCUCUCAAGAACUUUGUUCGCCUGAAGCUUCUGGACCUCUCCUACAAUGCUCUCGUCUCUCUUGAGGGCAUUCAGCACUUGAAGAUGCUGGAGAUACUCAGCUUGUACUACAAUAGAAUCUCAUCCCUGUCGGAGGUUCGGUCCCUCUGUAAACUGAAGGCCUUGAGGGAGAUUGAUCUGAGACUUAAUCCAGUAGCCAAGAACAGCCCGGACUAUCGCCUCUUCCUUGUGCAUGAACUGCCUGACCUACGUAAGAUUGAUGACUGUCCGGUGAGAGAUAGGGAAAGAAAAGCAUCCAUACUGCAUUUUUCUUCAGAUGUGACAUUUGAACCCUGUCAGGCAACCCCUUUUCCAUCAGGUGAAAGGAAUGACCAGUCAAGGGUGGCCUUGAUGAGACAGAUAACCAAGAAGCGCAGUUUCUUGGACGACAGUGAUGAAGCUGUGCUUAACCUGGUUGCUAAGAGCAACCUGCACUUAGGGGAACCAUCAUCCCUGCCUGUUUCCACUAAUAAGGAGCUCAGAUGCCAGCUCUACAACUUACAGGAUGACCAUGAGGAAGAUAAUGAUAAGGAUAGUGCUGAAAGUUUCCAGCCUUCAAAACAAGACCCAGCUAAACCCAUCCUUGGGCACAAUUGUAGAAGAGAAAAACAUGGAGUCCAGCCCUCAAGGGUCACGUCUUCCAGUGAAGGUGACCGUGUAGUAGGAACUGGCCUCCGUGUGGGGGUUUCCUUCGCUGAAUCCUUGCAGAAAAGCUACUCCAAGGCUUCUGAGGAGGAGGGGCAGCAUGGGGUCCAGAUACAGCCCAGAAUUCCUGCUCAGUGGAACUUCACCCCAAAGCCUGAAGAUGCUCCACUUCCUUCCAGUCAUUCCCUAUCCACAAAGACUCAGGCUUCCAACGUUCACAGCCCCAGGUCUGAGGGUGCCUUCACCUCGCUGUCCCGUUCUCCCAGACCAACCUGCAGUAGAUCGAAUGACAGACAUCGCUUAGAACGGUUCCUGCCUCCAGCGGAGGAGAACACCAAACAACGUGAAACCACCCUAUCCCACAGUUCCGGAAAACAUUUAGCUGUACUACUGGAACUGGUAGAUAAGCACUGGGAUGGCAAGGGCUCUCUUCGGUCUAAUCACAAAUUCCUCUCUCAAGCUGUUCAGAUCCUUUCAAAGAUGGAACAAGCCACCGCUGGUCCUCAACAGGAUGUUACGCGUACGACUGAGAACAUCCAGAUUCUGAAUGAACAAAGACGGAGAGAAGAGAAGGAGUAUCGGUCAGAGAUCCAAAACCUCCACAGGCAUCUGGAAGAAGCUCGAAGUUCCAUUGAAGAGUUAAACCGACAGCUGACUGAUACCUUGGAGGAGAACUUGUCUUUGCAGAAACAGCUUAUUAAAUCAGAGCAACGAUGGUUGAGCUGGCAGAUGAAUGGUUCGCCUGAGGUUAUUGGAAACCAGAGCACAAAUGAACAUCUGAAGAGAGAGGUGGAGGAGCUCAAAGAGACAAUCCAGCAAGCAGGAAAGGUACAGGAGUUGGCUGAUAUGCUGCAGGAAAGUCACAGGCAAGUGUAGCCCCCUGACAGCCACGAUGGCUCCGCUGUGACAUUGAUCUGGGUCUGAAUCUUUCCUGUACCUGUAUUGUUGUCGGCGACAAGGAGUUGCAGGCUGUGCAGACCCGGUUUACGUUCCCUGAGAUUGUUGAGGUAGCUGGUUUUCCACCCUCUUGUUGACCACACCAGCAUGUACAUUCAGUUGGAUCAAGACUGGUUGGAAUCAGGAGACAGGUCGCUGGUUUUCACCAAUGAGCGUCUGCUCUCGGAGCUGGCGGAGACCAAGGCUCGCCACAGGG